UACGUAGGCAGCGAGCGUUGUUCGGAAUCAUUGGGCGUAAAGAGCGCGUAGGCGGCCCGAUAAGUCCGCUGUGAAAGUCAAGGGCUUAACCCUUGAAUGCCGGUGGAAACUGUCGGGCUAGAGUCCGGAAGAGGCGGAGUGGAAUUCCUGGUGUCAGCGGUGAAAUGCGCAGAUAUCAGGAGGAACACCGAUGGCGAAGGCAGCUCGCUGGGACGGUACUGACGCUGAGGUGCGAAAGCGUGGGAGCAACAGG
rnacentral:rRNA from 1 species